rnacentral:rRNA from 1 species
CACAAGCGUGGAUGAUGUGGAUUAAUUCGAUGCAACGCGAAGAACCUUACUACCCUUGACAUGUCCGGAACUUGCCAGAGAUGGCUUGGUGCCCGAAAGGGAAUCGGAACACAGGUGCUGCAUGGCUGUCGUCAGCUCGUGUCGUGAGAUGUUGGGUUAAGUCCCGCAACGAGCGCAACCCUUAUCAUUAGUUGCUACGCAAGGGCACUCUAAUGAGACUGCCGGUGACAAACCGGAGGAAGGUGGGGAUGACGUCAAGUCCUCAUGGCCCUUAUGGGUAGGGCUUCACACGUCAUACAAUGGUCGGUACAGAGGGUUGCCAAGCCGCGAGGCGGAGCCAAUCCCACAAAGCCGAUCGUAGUCCGGAUUGUUCUCUGCAACUCGAGAGCAUGAAGUCGGAAUCGCUAGUAAUCGCAGGUCAGCAUACUGCGGUGAAUACGUUCCCGGGCCUU